rnacentral:rRNA from 1 species
GACGAACGCUGGCGGCGUACCUAAUACAUGCAAGUAGAACGCACAGUUUAUACCGUAGCUUGCUACACCAUAGACUGUGAGUUGCGAACGGGUGAGUAACGCGUAGGUAACCUGCCUGGUAGCGGGGGAUAACUAUUGGAAACGAUAGCUAAUACCGCAUAAUAUUAAUUAUUGCAUGAUAAUUAAUUGAAAGGUGCAAUUGCACCACUACCAGAUGGACCUGCGUUGUAUUAGCUAGUAGGUGAGGUAACGGCUCACCUAGGCGACGAUACAUAGCCGACCUGAGAGGGUGAUCGGCCACACUGGGACUGAGACACGGCCCAGACUCCUACGGGAGGCAGCAGUAGGGAAUCUUCGGCAAUGGACGAAAGUCUGACCGAGCAACGCCGCGUGAGUGAAGAAGGUUUUCGGAUCGUAAAGCUCUGUUGUAAGAGAAGAACGGGUGUGAGAGUGGAAAGUUCACACUGUGACGGUAUCUUACCAGAAAGGGACGGCUAACUACGUG